GAGUUUGAACCUGGCUCAGGAUGAACGCUGGCGGCGUGCCUAACACAUGCAAGUCGAACGAAGCACUCAGGCGGAAUUUUCUCGGAAAGGAAGCCUCUGUGACUGAGUGGCGGACGGGUGAGUAACGCGUGGACAACCUACCCCGCACUGGGGGACAACAGCCGGAAACGGCUGCUAAUACCGCAUAUGCGCACAGCCCCACAUGGGGCGGUGCGGAAAGCCUUGUGCGGUGCGGGAUGGGUCCGCGUCUGAUUAGCUGGUUGGCGGGGUAACGGCCCACCAAGGCGACGAUCAGUAGCCGGCCUGAGAGGGUGGACGGCCACAUUGGGACUGAGACACGGCCCAGACUCCUACGGGAGGCAGCAGUGGGGGAUAUUGCACAAUGGGGGCAACCCUGAUGCAGCGACGCCGCGUGAGCGAUGGAGUACCCCGGUAUGUAAAGCUCUGUCAGCAGGGAAGAGAAUGACGGUACCUGACCAAGAAGCCCCGGCUAAAUACGUGCCAGCAGCCGCGGUAAUACGUAUGGGGCAAGCGUUAUCCGGAUUUACUGGGUGUAAAGGGAGCGUAGGCGGCGGGGCAAGCCUGAUGUGAAAGCCCGGGGCUCAACCCCGGGACUGCAUUGGGAACUGCCCUGCUGGAGUGCCGGAGGGGCAGGCGGAAUUCCUAGUGUAGCGGUGAAAUGCG
rnacentral:rRNA from 1 species